CCUACGGGAGGCAGCAGUGAGGAAUAUUGGUCAAUGGACGAUAGUCUGAACCAGCCAAGUAGCGUGAAGGAUGACUGCCCUAUGGGUUGUAAACUUCUUUUAUAUGGGAAUAAAACGAGGCACGUAUACCGUUUUGCAUGUACUUUAUGAAUAAGGAUCGGCUAACUCCGUGCCAGCAGCCGCGGUAAUACGGAGGAUCCGAGCGUUAUCCGGAUUUAUUGGGCUUAAAGGGAGUGUAGGCGGGUGAAUAAGUCAGUUGUGAAAGUGUGCGGCUCAACCGGAGAAUUGCAUCAGAAACUGGUGAACUUGAGUGCAGAAGAGGAAAGCGGAAUUCGAUGUGUAGCGGUGGAAUGCGUAGAUAUAAGGAAGAACACCGGUGGCGAAGGCAGCUUUCUGGACUGUAACUGACGCUGAUGCUCGAAAGUAUGGGUAUCGAACAGGAUUAGAUACCCGGGUAGUC
rnacentral:rRNA from 1 species